rnacentral:rRNA from 1 species
AUUGAACGCUGGCGGCAGGCCUAACACAUGCGAGUCGAGCGGAUGAAGGGAGCUUGCUCCUGGAUUCAGCGGCGGACGGGUGAGUAAUGCCUAGGAAUCUGCCUGGUAGUGGGGGAUAACGUCCGGAAACGGGCGCUAAUACCGCAUACGUCCUGAGGGAGAAAGUGGGGGAUCUUCGGACCUCACGCUAUCAGAUGAGCCUAGGUCGGAUUAGCUAGUUGGUGGGGUAAAGGCCUACCAAGGCGACGAUCCGUAACUGGUCUGAGAGGAUGAUCAGUCACACUGGAACUGGGACACGGUCCAGACUCCUACGGGAGGCAGCAGUGGGGAAUAUUGGACAGUGGGCGAAAGCCUGAUCCAGCCAUGCCGCGUGUGUGAAGAAGGUCUUCGGAUUGUAAAGCACUUUAAGUUGGGAGGAAGGGCAGUAAGUUAAUACCUUGCUGUUUUGACGUUACCAACAGAAUAAGCACCGGCUAACUUCGUG